GGCCGAGAAGCUCGGGAAGGCAGGGCGGAGCGGAGGGUCCCACGCACCCUAAAAUUGGCGUGUGGAAUCACAGAAUCACGACGGUUGGAAAAGUGCUUUCAUAUCGUCUCGUCCAACCUCUGGCCCUCCACCACCACGCCCACUGAGCGCGUCCCUCAGUGCCGCGUGAACGCGGUUCUUAAACGCCUCCAGGGACGGUGACUGCGCCGCCUCCCUGGGCAGCUGUGCCACCGCCUCACCGCUCUGAGAAGGGUUUUUUUCCUAAUAUCCAACCUAAAAAGGAAUGGAGUGUUAAUUCUUCGUGGCAGAUGCUGGGAUUGAAGGGCCGUGAAGAUGGUGAAGGGCCUGGAGCACCUCUCCUGUGAGAAGCUAAAAACGCUGUGCCUGCUCAGCCCGGGUUACUCGGACUCGGGGAUCUCUGAAGGGAGACCGCACAGAGGACGGAGCCAGGCUCUGUUCAGCGGUGCCCAGCGCCAGGGCCAGAGGCCAUAGGCAUAAAGCGGAGCACAGGAGCUCCCUCUGAGCACUAGGUAGCUCUCUGUGCCGUGCGGGUGACGGAGCGCUGCCACAGGCUGCCCAGAGGCUGGAGAGUCUUCUUGGAGACCUCCAAAAGCACCUGGAGGUGGGCCUGGGCACCGUGCUCUGGAUGUCCCUGCUGGAGCAGGGCCUGUGCCGGAUGGACCUGGAGGCCCUGCCUGCUUCAGACCCGCUGUGAUUCUGUGAAAUCUGCUGGCACCAGAAGGCAGUUUGAUGGUUUCUGUGGGCACGGAAGGAUAAGAAGGAACAAUUUGGGAUGCUGCUGCAGCAUGGAUAAAGGAGGAAAAGGAUUCACUAAUUCUUCAGAUAAAGAACAAACCACAUGCUUCCCUCACAUUUCUUCUGAGGAGAACAAAGCCAGCAUCUCCUCAGCUUUCCACAGAAACUCCACAACUGGUUGCAAGUGACCAAUUUAGGAUGAGUUGGUGAAGUCACGGUGGAAACUGUGUUGUCAUCAGUGAAGAAAUAUUUAAGCUGGAAAGGAAGGGACCUGUGAGAGUUUUUCAGACCGAAAACAUGAAAAGCCUCAUUCACCAACUUAAUUGUAUCAAUUCACCAAAACACACCAUGACAGCAAAAGUCCUCUCUUCAGUCUUGCAAAGGAAGAAGCAUCUGCUGCUCACAGGAAGAGAUGAUCCACAACUGCCUGAACACUGCCAGCAAAGAGUUGCCCUGAGGAGAUGAGAGGUGGCUGCCCCUGCCCUGCAGGGAGACCUGAACGAGAGCCACCUGAGGAGCAGACCAGGUGCUCAGCCUAUGUGGGGCGGAGCUGUUCCGCAAGGUAGGAGGCUGCUGGCAGCACCAAAGGAAGAAGGCACAGAGACAGCAGCACCCAUGGGGCCCCCGCCACUCAAGCGCCCUAAGAAAGCUCCACCCAAACCAGUGCUACUCCAGCCCUGCCAGUCCCUGCUGCAGCAGCACAGAGGGAAACGUGCCAGCCUCUGGCCCCCUUCAAGCUGCCACUGAGCAGACAGAUAAUUUUGGCAAUAUGUUUGAGUAAUACACCUUCUCCACUCUCAGGUCCUUUCAGUUAUUUAUCUAUUUAUCUCUGUAAUGGUUCUGGAAAUAAA
ensembl:lncRNA